rfam:Nitrobacter winogradskyi Nb-255, complete genome.
GCCCCCAUGGCGAAAUUGGUAGACGCAACAGACUUAAAAUCUGUAGUCCCGUCAGGGACGUACCCGUUCGACUCGGGUUGGGGGCA